UACGUAGGGGGCGAGCGUUGUCCGGAGUUACUGGGCGUAAAGAGCUCGUAGGCGGUUUGUCGCGUCUGCUGUGAAAUCCCGAGGCUCAACCUCGGGCCUGCAGUGGGUACGGGCAGACUGGAGUGCGGUAGGGGAGAAUGGAACUCCUGGUGUAGCGGUGGAAUGCGCAGAUAUCAGGAAGAACACCGAUGGCGAAGGCAGUUCUCUGGGCCGUAACUGACGCUGAGGAGCGAAAGCGUGGGGAGCGAACAGG
rnacentral:rRNA from 1 species